rnacentral:lncRNA from 1 species
CUCCUCCUUACAUGUGCUGCAGCGUGGGGUACUUGCUCCGGUGUGCACGCGGUAUUUCUUUACGCUCGGAACAAUGGACAAGGAUACAGGUGGAGAAAACAUAGACGAAUUUCGAGAGAAUUUCAUAUAGGCUACUGCAGUGAAGGCCUACAAAAUAGACAAUUCGGUCACGGAUGUGUUUUUUUUUUACUGUGUAUAUUACACAUUUACUUUGUUUAGCAAUGCAUUCUAAAAAUGUUGGACCAUUUUGCGAAUUUCUUCCAUUUCAGGGCUGGUGGCGGUACUGCUGACGGUACUCCAGUGGGCAGGGCGAGGCCUCCCUUCUCCUGUCAGGCCCAUCUGUGACCCCCGCGUUCUGGACCGCUUCAUCAUGGAGGCCCGCGACACAGAGACCGCUCUGCGAAGUUGCAAGGCAGGGUGUGGCGUGACAGGCACCUUCGUGGUUCCACUGACCAACGUUGACUUUGUGGUAUUGGAGACAAAGGAUACUGAGGAGCAGGCUCUGGAGGUCCAGUCGGGGCUGUCUCUGUUUGGCCAGGCCCUGGGUGCUGUGCGGGAGUCAGUGAGCCGUGCUGCCGUGCAGAGCCUCAUCGACAACAACAAGAGCAACAUCCACAGCCUGGGCCAGGUGCUGCGCAGCCUCCACAUCAAGGUGACUCACUGAGGAUUGUGGGUGUCUCGUCUACAGCAUGACCAGUGGAUGGGACUGUGGGUGUCUCGUCUACAGCAUGACCAGUGGAUGGGACUGUGGGUGUCUCGUCUACAGCAUGACCAGUGGAUAGGACUGUGGGUGUCUCGUCUACAGCAUGACCAGUGGAUGGGACUGUGGGUGUCUCGUCUACAGCAUGACCAGUGUAUGGGACUGUGGGUGUCUCGUCUACAGCAUGACCAGUGGAUGGGACUGUGGGUGUCUCGUCUACAGCAUGACCAGUGGAUGGGACUGUGGGUGUCUCGUCUACAGCAUGACCAGUGGAUAGGACUGUGGGUGUCUCGUCUACAGCAUGACCAGUGGAUGGGACUGUGGUGUGAACAGGGGUUCCGUGUGGCUCAGUUGGUAAAGCAUGGUGCAAUGCCAGGGUUGUGGUUUCGAUCCCCAUGGGGGACCAGUAUGGAAAAAGUAUGCACUCGCUGCUGUAAGAGUGUUUCCUGAAAUGACCUGUCCCUCUCUCCAGUGCCAGCAGGAAGUGACUCAGCGACCAGGAAGGUGUCGUCCCUAUCCGAGCUGUUCCGUGUCCACACCAACUUCCUACGAGGGAAGGUUCGCCUGCUGCUCACCAACGCACCUGCCUGUCAACAGAACAGCACGUGAUUGGAGCUUUCCCUGAAGGCAGAGGCUGGGAUUGGACUGUUGUUUAGAGAGAGGAUGAGGUCAUUGGACUUCUGCUGAAAUCUCUGAAUGGACUUCGAAGUAUGGAAUGUGUAGACAAGGUGAUUGUUGACUGGAUAAAAACUGGUGGGAAAGUCAGUUGAUGUGGGUGGUGCUGAUGAGAAACCAUGAACGAGUGAGAGAAAAAAACAUCACUUCUACAACUCAUUGACCUCAUCGGUUCCUAGUACUACCUGUCAGUACCACAAUGAGCUCUGAUGCAUGCAGCGGGAAUAAGCUACAGACAGUACCCGCUGGGCACAGACGUCAAUUCAAUGUCUAUUCCACGUUGGUUCAACCUAAUUUCAUUGAAAUGACGUGGAAACAAUGUUGAUUCAACCAGUUUGUGCCCAGUGGGUACAGAUCAUAUAUAAUGUCCUAAAUCCAAAGAUUCGAUUUUUCAUUUUAUUUAUACAUUGUCUUAAAAUGUGUUUUUGUAUAACUUUUGUGUUAUAAAUCUCUAUUUUCAUACUCUUGUGUGUCCUUUGAAGUCUUUGAACCAUAUUUUAUGAUUGACGCUCAGGUUUCACAUACCGUAGUCAGUUUGUGUGUUCGUGUAAUAUGCUUGUCAGUACUGUUAUAAUUCAGACAAUGUAUUAGUCACUUCUCACUGUGUGCUCUCUGCACUCGGACUGUCUGUG